rnacentral:rRNA from 1 species
UAACUUUAACCUAAAACUAUUAUGUAUAAUCUAAAUUAAUAAUAAGAAUUUAAAUUAUAAGUGUAAGUAUAGCAAUAGAAAUUAACAAUAUUAAUAAGUAUAAUUUAUA